AAGAUGUGCCUGCUCUGGUUUGAAGGUUCAUGUCCCUGAAAUGCCCACAUUGGGAUAACAUAGGUGAUGACAUUAGGAGAUGAAGCCUUCGGAGGGGUAGGUCAUGGGCCAGCCCUCACCCAUGGGCUUACUGACUCAUGAACGACCCCUCACCCACAGGAGGACAUGGCAUAAAGGUGCUGUCUCUAUGGAAGCAGACCCUCCGCAGACCCGGGGACUCGUCAACCUUGAAAUCUGUGAGAAACAAAUGUCUGCCGUUAGAAGCUACCAAUCUCAAUCUAUGAUGAAAAUGAAAGCCAACAGAAACUAUAUUGCCGUUGACUCCAUUGUUGUAUCUGCAGAGAACCAAGCCAGCUCUACAUCUACGGAAUUUUCCCUUACUUCCUACCUACUCAUCCUGAAUUUGAAUAUAAACAUGUUAUAUAUUUUAGUUUACAGUAACUUUAAAAGGUAUUUUCAAUUAUUGGUGUAUGAAAUAUUGAUUUUGUGUAGAAAUACAGAAAUCAAAUGCUUUAUAGAAAGAAAAUCAGUGCAGUGUGUGUGUGUGUGUGUGGGCGGGGUGUUAUCAGCAUAGCCUGAGGUUGGCAGAAGUGCUGAAUAUCAGAGUGUAGUUUUAUCUAUAAUCUCCCAAUACUGGCAUUCUCAUUAGUUUAGCAAAGGGAAGCCUGAAUAUGUUGUGAUUCUCAUUUUAGCUUUCAUGGUAUCUUUCUUUCUCUUCUUAUCAUUACAUGCUUAUGCCUUUGAAAGUUUUACAAAUAAAUGAG
rnacentral:lncRNA from 1 species